AUUUAUGUAUUCAAUUGUUUGUAAAUUAGUUAAAGUCGAAACAAGCAAAUAUGUAUGUUGUUUAAAUUGCCACACAGUAAAAUGGAACCAAAACAUCAAACAUUGGUUACAUGUUGUAACAUAUGGAGCCAGGUAGACUGAUAUUGUGCUCCUCUUCCUACAGUACUGUUGCUUUAAGAGAAAGGCAGCGCUGGUGGGAGGGGGAAAUCUUGCGAGAGCACGUAGUGGGGCUACCGCGAGAUCAGGAAGUAAAUCUGACAAGGUGGCUAGCACUAGAGCUUGUGACUGACUUGGGGAAAAUUGUUGUAAACACCAAUAAAAGGUUGUAUGCUAACGCAAUAUUGGGCAGGCGGAGGGACGCUGAGCAGCAGUGCAGAGUGGAGAGGUGAUGUGUUACCUGCCAAGUGUGUAGCAGCUACCGUUCAACACACUGGAAGAAGUAAGUUAAUCUGCAAUGUACAAUAUUACGCUGAUGUGAAAAUGUAACUGUUCAAUUGUCACUGUGUACCAUCAGAAAGUAUGUGGUAAGGUAAAGUUUUAUUUGAUUUUUUUUAUAAUUGCAAGCCACUACUGUUAUCUAUUGUGUAUAAUAAUCUUUUCUAUGUUUUCUGGAAGUGCAGUUUUUGGUUGUUGGUGCAAGUCAGGGUACCCGGCACCUAGUAGGACCAAUAUUCAGUGCUAGGGACAGAAGAAAGCAAAUAGCUGUAUUCAUCUUCGCUCGCCAAUCUCAGUCUUAUUGUUGUUAAUGCUGAACAUUCCAUAUCCAGUCGGGAAUAAA